rnacentral:rRNA from 2 species
GGGGAGCGGCAGACGGGUGAGUAACGCGUGGGAAUCUACCCAUCUCUACGGAAUAACGCAUGGAAACGUGUGCUAAUACCGUAUACGUCCUUCGGGAGAAAGAUUUAUCGGAGAUGGAUGAGCCCGCGUUGGAUUAGCUAGUUGGUGGGGUAAAGGCCUACCAAGGCGACGAUCCAUAGCUGGUCUGAGAGGAUGAUCAGCCACACUGGGACUGAGACACGGCCCAGACUCCUACGGGAGGCAGCAGUGGGGAAUAUUGGACAAUGGGCGCAAGCCUGAUCCAGCCAUGCCGCGUGAGUGAUGAAGGCCCUAGGGUUGUAAAGCUCUUUCACCGGUGAAGAUAAUGACGGUAACCGGAGAAGAAGCCCCGGCUAACUUCGUGCCAGUCGCCGCGGUAA